AAGCUUGGUCCUAACUUUACUAUCAACUUUAAUUGAACUUAUACAUGCGAGUAUCCGCGUCCCUGUGAGAAUGCCCUUUACAUGCCCGCCAUGCGGGAAAGAGGAGCUGAUAUUAGGCACAACCCUGCGUUAGCCCAUGAUAUCUUGUUUAGCCACACCCCCAAGGGAUCCCAGCAGUAAUAGACAUUAAGCCAUAAGUGCAAGCUUGCCUUAGUUAAAAUUAAGAGGGCCGGUAAACCUCGUGCCAGCCACCGCGGUUAUACGAGGGGCCCAAGUUGAUAGGGUUCGGCGUAAAGGGUGGUUAAUAGAACAUAUACUAAAGCCGAACGCCUUCGGAGCUGUUAUAAGCUUCUGGAGAAAGGAAGCCCUUCCACGAAAGUGCCUUUAAACACUAUGACCCCACGAAAGCUAGGGCACAAACUGGGAUUAGAGACCCCACUAUGCCUAGCCCUAAAUUCAGACAGGCCCCCACUAGCCCUGUUCGCCAGGGAACAACGAGCCCCAGCUUAAAACCCAAAGGACUUGGCGGUGCUUCAGCCCCCCCUAGAGGAGCCUGUUCUACAACCGAUACCCCCCGUUAAACCUCACCCCUUCUUGUUAAAUCCGCCUGUAUACCGCCGUCGUCAGCCCACCCUGUGAGGGACUAAUAGUAAGCAAUAUUGGUGAAACCCAAAACGUCAGGUCGAGGUGCAGCAUAUGAAGUGGGAAGAAAUGGGCUACAUUUUCUGAACCAGCAACAUACGAAUGUUGGCCUGAAAAACCACCUGAAGGAGGAUUUAGAAGUAAGGGCGGAGUAGAGAGCCCCCCUGAAAACGGCGCUGAAGCGCGCACACACCGCCCGUCACUCUCCCC
rnacentral:ncRNA from 1 species